GGGGGAUAACUACUGGAAACGGUGGCUAAUACCGCAUAACGUCGCAAGACCAAAGAGGGGGACCUUCGGGCCUCUUGCCAUCAGAUGUGCCCAGAUGGGAUUAGCUUGUUGGUGAGGUAACGGCUCACCAAGGCGACGAUCCCUAGCUGGUCUGAGAGGAUGACCAGCCACACUGGAACUGAGACACGGUCCAGACUCCUACGGGAGGCAGCAGUGGGGAAUAUUGCACAAUGGGCGCAAGCCUGAUGCAGCCAUGCCGCGUGUAUGAAGAAGGCCUUCGGGUUGUAAAGUACUUUCAGCGGGGAGGAAGGUGUUGUGGUUAAUAACCGCAGCAAUUGACGUUACCCGCAGAAGAAGCACCGGCUAACUCCGUGCCAGCAGCCGCGGUAAUACGGAGGGUGCAAGCGUUAAUCGGAAUUACUGGGCGUAAAGCGCACGCAGGCGGUCUGUCAAGUCGGAUGUGAAAUCCCCGGGCUCAACCUGGGAACUGCAUUCGAAACUGGCAGGCUUGAGUCUUGUAGAGGGGGGUAGAAUUCCAGGUGUAGCGGUGAAAUGCGUAGAGAUCUGGAGGAAUACCGGUGGCGAAGGCGGCCCCCUGGACAAAGACUGACGCUCAGGUGCGAAAGCGUGGGGAGCAAACAGGAUUAGAUACCCUGGUAGUCCACGCCGUAAACGAUGUCUACUUGGAGGUUGUGCCCUUGAGGCGUGGCUUCCGGAGCUAACGCGUUAAGUAGACCGCCUGGGGAGUACGGCCGCAAGGUUAAAACUCAAAUGAAUUGACGGGGGCCCGCACAAGCGGUGGAGCAUGUGGUUUAAUUCGAUGCAACGCGAAGAACCUUACCUGGUCUUGACAUCCACAGAAGAAUCCAGAGAUGGAUUUGUGCCUUCGGGAACUGUGAGACAGGUGCUGCAUGGCUGUCGUCAGCUCGUGUUGUGAAAUGUUGGGUUAAGUCCCGCAACGAGCGCAACCCUUAUCCUUUGUUGCCAGCGGUCCGGCCGGGAACUCAAAGGAGACUGCCAGUGAUAAACUGGAGGAAGGUGGGGAUGACGUCAAGUCAUCAUGGCCCUUACGACCAGGGCUACACACGUGCUACAAUGGCGCAUACAAAGAGAAGCGACCUCGCGAGAGCAAGCGGACCUCAUAAAGUGCGUCGUAGUCCGGAUUGGAGUCUGCAACUCGACUCCAUGAAGUCGGAAUCGCUAGUAAUCGUGGAUCAGAAUGCCACGGUGAAUACGUUCCCGGGCCUUGUACACACCGCCCGUCACACCAUGGGAGUGGGUUGCAAAAGAAGUAGGUAGCUUAACCUUCGGGAGGGCGCUUACCACUUUGUGAUUCAUGACUGGGGUGAAGUCGUAACAAGGUAACCGUAGGGGAACCUGCGGUUGGAUCACCUCCUUA
rnacentral:rRNA from 1 species